AGCAGCAAUGGUGGCGAUGGCACUUUUCUGGACUGGGUGAUUAGGGGCAGCUCCCUGGAGGUGUCACUGUGAAGAUAACCUAGUGAAGGGCAUGAAGGCCAUUCAAGUGCUUUCUCGCUGGCAACUUCAUACCGAUAACUGUCCACCUCCUCCGGACAUCAGAACACUUCUAGCCUGUUGUUUAUCAGGUAAUGAGUUCAUAACGCAAGUCGAGUCUUUGUUCUCCAUCACAAGCCUCGAGUACGUGAAAACGCAAUCUUUUUGAUUCCAGCCUAAUCUCGUGUCAGAUGGAAUUGUUGGAGUUAGAAAACCAGUGAUGUGAAGCAUCUCUCUUGAGUAGGUGCUCACACUCACACUUCCCCUCUGUACUGCGAAGAUGAACGCAGAUGCCUAUCACUACAUUUCUAGACGCUAAGACCCAUUUUCAGGGGUGGAGGUGUUUGCUCCAGGCAAUGAGCUGCUACUUCAGUGGAUGUUCCACCUGGCCUUCAGAUGCCAAGAAGCAAUCAAAGAGGAAGGAGGGGCUCCCAAAGCCUCACUUACGGAUGAGUCAGUGGAGCUCAUAACAGUGUUUGAGAGAGAAGACUGCCAAACUCAGUCACGCAGGGACUCACGUUUUCUAUCUUCAGAGGCAUCACUGUGCAAAGUGUUGGGCACCAGGUUAAAAUCAGAAACACAGACGUCCCCUGGAAGAUGCAGCAGUAAUAGGGGUGCCAGGAACAGCAGCCCUAGUGACAAAAAGAGGCACGAUAACACUGAAUUUGUCCAGGAAGAGAAAAAUGUUGUGUGAUUAUACUAGAUUAGCCAUAUAGAAAAAAAAGGGACAAUUUAAAUAGACAUAUGUAACAUAAUUUAACACCUAUUCGUGAUGCUUUGUACUAAUUGAAUCAUCAACAAUGAUAUAUUACUGGCAUUAUUUUUAAAAGUUUAUUAUUAUUAAUUUUUUUCAUAAAAGAUAUUUUGAUAUAUGUAGGCAAUAACAGUUGCUAAAAAUUAGGUCAUGAAUUUGA